CUCUCCCCCCCACAAUAACGAGAGCCACACCAGAGGCCAGAGCUGUGCUGUCUCAGCAAGCAAAGGGCAAAGGAGGCAACGAGAUGCUGUAGGGACUCUGACUCUUGCUGCCAGGCUGCAACAAGAGGAAGGGAGAUUCUGGCCCCCAACAGGUGAAAACAAGAGAGGAGCAAGGCAGGAAGCACAAAAGCAAACCUCUCUCAUGAAGGAAACAGCACAACUUCAAGCACAGCUUUCAGCACAGCAUACCAAGGAGGAACAGAAAUCCCAAGCAGAGCAGAGGGGAUGAGUGGCUUAGAGAAAAGCAAAAGCACCCCACAAAGCACACAGCCAAAACACCACCCCACAAAGGACACAGCCAACCUACCCCCGCAAAGGGGAGCAGCCAAAGGCUUCUGCCUCUCCUGGGGCAACUUAAAAAGGGGAGGUCAAUUGAAGUCUCCUCCCACCCCAGCUGUGGCCACUUUGCCCUCCCUGCUCAGUGCCCUUUAUAAGCAGAGCAGGAGGAGCCCAGCCCCAAGCUGGGCCCAUUGCGGGCCAAGGGAUCCUCCGCCUGGCAUCCCAGGAGGUUGGAUCCUUGAGGGUUUUGCUCUGGGUUCUGCGAUGGAGGCAAAGAUGGAGCAGGAGCACCAACUGGAGCUGGUAAUGGACCAGCAGCAGCAGCAGCUGGUAAUGGAACUGCGAGCUGACCAUCCGUACUACCGUCGCCUUGAAUGCCUCCAACCAGCAGUGUUUGCUGCCAGACAGGCACCUUGAGAAGACAGAGGACAUGGUUAAGUUCAUGAAGGAUAUCUUGGAUGGUGCUGCUGAAGCACAGGCUGGUGAUGGACUUCUGCAACGAAGCAAGAGAGUCAUCUAUGAGGCCAAGGCUGCUGUAAUGGUAGAGUUCAUUGCUUAUUCAGUGAGGUGAUGCUCUUGUCAGUCAAGAAGGACUUAGUUGCAGAGGCUUUGGAAAUGCUUUGAUGUAAGCUUGUUGCCAUGCUGUGCCUAGUGUAUCUAUUGUCACUAUUUAGAACUAGGCUUAAACCAAAUGAACUUCUUGAUUAAAACAGCCAAUCAUGUCUGCCACA